rnacentral:lncRNA from 1 species
GUAUAUAUUUAUAAAUAAAAGUUAAUAUAAUUAUAUAAAUUAACAUUAUUAUUUUUUUUAACAGGAAAUGCACAAUGCUAAAAACUGCGUAGGAGAUUUUAAUACAAUAGUACUACCAAGCCUGAUGUUGGCCGCUAUUUCAAUGAAUGCAGCAGUGUGACAGCUAGCAAUCAAAAGUAACAAGAUAUCGAGGAAAUGCAGAUGGCAAUAAACUGUGUAGGAGUUCAUGAUGGCAAUAGAAUAAAAUCGACCAAGCCUGAAGUCAGCAGCCCCUUCAAUGAAUGCAGCAGUGUGACAGCCAGCAAUCAAAAGUUACAACAUAUCGAGGAAAUGCAGAUGGCAAUAAACUGUGU